rnacentral:rRNA from 1 species
AGCGAACGCUGGCGGCAGGCCUAACACAUGCAAGUCGAGCGCCCCGCAAGGGGAGCGGCAGACGGGAGAGUAACGCGUGGGAACGUGCCCUUUGGUUCGGAACAACCCAGGGAAACUUGGGCUAAUACCGGAUAAGCCCUCACGGGGAAAGAUUUAUCGCCGGAGGAUCGGCCCGCGUCUGAUUAGCUAGUUGGUGGGGUAAUGGCCCACCAAGGCGACGAUCAGUAGCUGGUCUGAGAGGAUGAUCAGCCUCACUGGGACUGAGACACGGCCCAGACUCCUACGGGAGGCAGCAGUGGGGAAUAUUGGACAAUGGGCGCAAGCCUGAUCCAGCCAUGCCGCGUGGGUGAUGAAGGCCCUAGGGUUGUAAAGCCCUUUCGGCGGGGAAGAUAAUGACGGUACCCGCAGAAGAAGCCCCGGCUAACUUCGUGCCAGCCGCCGCCGUAACAU